GAUCAGGUAGCUCAGCUGGUUAGAGCAAAGGACUGAAAAUCCUUGCGUCAGUGGUUCUAAUCCAUUUCUAAGCA
rfam:Nicotiana attenuata strain TT chromosome 7, whole genome shotgun sequence.